UUUUACCAGACUUUAAUGAUGAUAUCAAAACAAAAUUGCACUGAUUACAUAUUACAAUGCUGAUUCUAAAGAUACUGAAGCAUAAACAAGAUUAUUGAUGCCUGGGAUUCAGAGAUCAUGUAUAGGAAUAAGAAAUUAUUUUAACACAAUUUUUUUUUUUAAACUCUUACAAAUAACAAUGUUUGGUUGUACUUGCAUUAAACUGUUUUUGACAAUCAUGAUAUCGAUAUUAAAUUUUGUUUUAAAAAAAAACAGGAAAAAAUAUCUUCAAUUACACAAAGAUAAUUUCUAGUAUUUUUUUUAAUUAUUUUUUUCUUUAGUAUUCUAGCAAAUGUAACCACAAAACUCAUAUAUUAUUUUAAAGUACUUAAAGGUGAAACCAGGCAAUGUAAGAUAAAAAUAAUUGAUAAAUAUUUGAUUUUGGAAAAACAUUAUGUUCACAUAUAAUAUUGCCACGUAAAUUGGUUUUCGUGUGUAAACGUAUUUUUCUUUCAUAAUCUGUCUCAUGACGUUAUACCCCGCUAGCUCCGCCGUUUACAUUACUGGUAGAGAGGGUUCGGCCUGUGCUUUCGCUCCAGGAAUUCUGACAGCAUACUGACAAUACAACGAAACAGUAAAUUCAUAAAAAUAAUAACAAGACUCGUAUCUUUUAUUCUGGAAAUCAUGAAUGAUGAACUAUAAUUAGAUAUUUUCUUUUGAUUACUUAUUAUAUAUGGUGAGUUAUUUUCUAUCAAAAUAUUACUAGUAUUGUAUUAUUUGUAUAGUUAUGUUAUGGAAUUGGCUUUUGCUUCUAUAAAUAGACCAGGAACAAAACUUUUUAAAAAGAGAAGUCUUAAUGUUUUUUUGAAUUUAAUAAUCACAUUAAAUUUAGAUGUGAGCAAGCUGGAAGAACACGUUUUGACAGGGUGUAUUUAAAGGCUUUCAUUGUAUUUCAUUACAUUCAAAGAUUUUUGACAAAAACAAAUCUUCCUUUAUCGUAAGUGUAAUGACUUCAUUUCAGACAUUUUUGAAAUUUAAAAAAAAAAAGAGAGUGCACAUUCUGCAUAUUUUUCUAAAAAUUUAAUUUUAAUGUAAUGAUACAAUUUUAAAUGAGCAGUUUUAUGGGUUGAAAAUAGUAAAGCAAAAGGAAAGUUAAAAUGAAAAUCUAAUCAUAAUAUUUGACUUUGUAAUUGUACUAACACUUAUAAUCAAGUCAUAUAGGUUCACAACAUACUGAAACAAAUCAUACCAUAGCUUUCACAAAUGAAUCCUGAAUUUAAUACAUGUAUAUGAGAAAAAAAAUGCACCAAGUAAAUACUGGAAGGAGUAAUGGUAUUACAACAAUUAUGAAUCAGAUUUACUCAAUACAACAAUAUCUAACAAUUAGGGGUGAGGAUAGGUGUAUCAUGGUAAAUGGGAGCUUUUCUCAUUAACAUAAGUCUGAAGAGCUAAAUAAAAAAUAUAAGAUUUUUCUAUGUACAUAGAAAAUAAUGAUGAUGGAAAACACAUUCAUUUCACAUUACAAACAAAAAAAAUUGUGACCUGAUGGAAAUUAAGGAAGGAUUUUGGACAUAAGCCCUCAUACAGUUCAGUUAUGCUACAUAAUUUUUUUUGAUAAUCUAGUCAGGGAUCUUCAGGAUUACACAAAAAUUGCCUCAGAUAAAUGAUACAGCCACAAAAUGACAACACUCAUGAAGUGUUAUUUAAAAACAAACUGUGGGGUAGUUGCCUUAUAGCCCAUACACUUUUUGAAACUGUAGUACCAUAAUUAUGAAGUGUGUUGCUACAUUCAUUACAGCUUUAUAAUCAUGUGGAAACUAAAGACAAAAUAUACAUGGAAAUUAGAAGAAAACUAGAAAUCAUAUGAAUCAUGUAAAAAUAUGAUUUAAAUACCGCUCUGGUUCUUUUAAAUUCUAAUUAUUAUGAUCACAAUGUCUAUGACUAAAUUCUUUACUAAUUAAGUAUUUAAAGAUAUUUUCUAUUUCUACGCAAGUAUUUGAGCUCAGUAUUUUGGAAGAAAACAAUAACUCAUCACUCUUCAGACUAUUAUGAAAAAUUCAUCUAUAUAUAUAUACAUGGGGAGAUAUAUUUUUAAAUAGGGCUUUCACUUUAUCAAAGAUAUAAUUUCUGAAAAACAAUAGAAUAAACUCAUCCAGUAUAAAGACGAGGAGAAUUUACUGACCAGAGGGGACAUUUUCUCAAACAUCUACAAAGAAGAAGAUGUGGUAUGAUCUGCUCUUUUGUGAUCUAGAAUGUAUAAAAAAUCUUAGUUAUAGCAAAGAGUAAGAUGACUGAUUGAAAUACAACAUGAAUGCACCUGUAUUUGGAAGAAUAAAACAUACACAAACAAUGUACAAAAAAAAUUAUAAUUGGUAUAUGGCAUCUCCCUGUUUUCCAUCCUUCACAAACCUCAAGCUUAUAUCACAGUCAAAUUAUGUCUCAAAAUGUCACAACUAUAAACUAAAUAAAAUAUUUUACAAUAAAACACAUGAAAACAUACAAAUAUGAAUAUAUGAUUGACGACCUGUGUAAACAUGAUUUUGAUAUAAGUCACAUGUCAACCUACUUUGUUUUCAAUCUGGAAAGAUAAAUAAAGUCAGAAUUUAUAUACAUCAAGUACUUCUGGAAGUACUUUCCAAAAACUACAAUUUCAUCCAGAAAAGUUAUCUACAUUGUAGUGUAUAUCAUACAUAGUAUAUAUAUGAAAAAUAAAUAGAUACAUCAUAAUGAAAUGUUUGUGAUACAUUGUAUAUCAUUUGAAAAACAAGGAUGUGUCCAUAGUACAUGGAUGCCCCACUCAUACUAUCAUUUUCUAUGUUCAGUGGAAUUGGAUUAAAAAUCUAAUGUGACAAUGAAAUAUGAAAAAUUGGCCCAUAAAUUGGGCAUAAAAACAAUGGCGAAAAAUUUGAAAUGGGAAAUUUUGAUCUAAUGUACAUUCAUUUCUAUGAAAGGAUAGUUAUCACUUAA
rnacentral:lncRNA from 1 species